rnacentral:rRNA from 1 species
AGUGAACGCUGGCGGUAGGCCUAACACAUGCAAGUCGAACGGCAGCACAGUAAGAGCUUGCUCUUACGGGUGGCGAGUGGCGGACGGGUGAGGAAUACAUCGGAAUCUACUUUUUCGUGGGGGAUAACGUAGGGAAACUUACGCUAAUACCGCAUACGACCUACUGGUGAAAGCAGGGGAUCUUCGGACCUUGCGCGAUUGAAUGAGCCGAUGUCGGAUUAGCUAGUUGGCGGGGUAAAGGCCCACCAAGGCGACGAUCCGUAGCUGGUCUGAGAGGAUGAUCAGCCACCCUGGAAGUGAGAAACGGUCCAGACUCCUACGGGAGGCAGCAGUGGGGAAUAUUGGACAAUGGGCGCAAGCGUGAUCCAGCCAUACCGCGUGGGUGAAGAAGGCAUUCGGGUUGUAAAGCCGUUUUGUUGGGAAAGAAAAGCAGCAGGUUAAUACCCCGCUGUUCUGACGGUACCCAAAGAAUAAGCACCGGCUAACUUCGUG